ensembl:lncRNA
GUAACACAGUGGACCACACAGCCCAUCUAUAGUGUAACAUAGUGGACCAUACAGCCCAUCUAUAGUGUAACACAGUGGACCAUACAGCCCAUCUAUAGUGUAUUAUUGUAACAUAGUGGACCAUACAGCCCAUCUAUAGUGUAACACAGUGGACCAUACAGCCCUGGACCAUGUGGAGAACUAACCCCGGCAGGUGUGGAGAACUAACCCCGGCAGGUGUGGAGAACUAACCCCCGCAGGUGUGGAGAACUAACCCCCGCAGGUGUGGAGAACUAACCCAGCAGGUUAGGAGAACUAGCGCAGCAGGUUAGGAGAACUAGGUUAAAGUUAGGGAAAGGGUAAAGGGUUAGCUAAAAUGCUAACAUUCUCUCCGACCAUGCACUUUUUUUUUUAACAAUACUUUGGCAAACGAUGUCGCCCACUUAGUUAGGACGCCAUUGCUGCUCCAUCAAGGCUUACCUGCUCAGUAGGAGGAGGAGGAGGGUUCACUAGCAGAGUGCCAGCCGUCUUCAUGUCUCCCUGUCCUCUGUCUGCGAAGCCUGCAAGAACAGUCUGUAAAGCUGAGACAAUAACCCGAACAGAGACCGACCAAACCGUCCACUUAUAUCAUUGAUUACCAUAAAUAACUUUUAAAAAAGGUUCCUACUAGAGAAAUUAAAUUAGGUCUAAAUCCUCUGUUCGUAAAGUGAGAGAACGUGUUCAACCUCUAAAUCCUCUCUGUUCGUAAAGUGAGAGAACAUGUUCAACCUCUAAAUCCUCUCUGUUCGUAAAGUGAGAGAACGUGUUCAACCUCUAAA